ensembl:rRNA 5S_rRNA 5S ribosomal RNA
GACUACUGGGCCAUGCUACCUUGAAUGUACUGGAUCCUGUCCGAUCGCAUGAAGCUAAGCAGGGUCGGGCCUCGUUAGUACUUGGAUGGGAGACCUCCUAGGAAGACCAGGUGCCAUAGGCG